UAGGUCUGCAGAAUGAAGUAACCAAUGUUUCUCUUAAUUCGGAAACUCAAAGAUAAACGCAGAUUUUACAGACUCAUCAGAGAAGAGGGUCUCUUCAGAGUCUGCUCAAUUGGCUCAGAAUAUUAGGAAGAAAGGAAGCUCUACACAAGUUACAGUAUUAUAUCAGACAUCAUGGGAGAACAUCUGUUCAGUACCCAGUUGAAACUGCCAUUAUGGUUUGUGUCAAUAAGAUGUGGGCUUGCACGGGAGACUCCAACCCUAUAUCUGGAUGCACCAGGCAUGAGAGGAGCGUUGUUCCAAAGUUCUGUGGAUGAGGAAACAAACAAAAUGGAGCCCUGUGGAUUUCCAGUGUGAGUGAGUGUGAGAGACAAAGGCUCUUAGCAAGGAAACGGGCUGACCAGAUGGGGCAUCAUGCUUCCAUGCUUCCUCUGAUUCCAGUCAUGCCCUUGAUUGUGCCUGGGCGAAGCCAAAGAAGCUAGACUGAGCAGCAGCACACAAGUUCCAAAUCCUAGCAAAGAGCAAGUGUGCAACAGAGAAAAAAAAACAUGUAGAAGAGCUUCUGAUGAAUGUUCUAAUUUUGAAAUGAAAGGAGAAUAAGAAGAAAAACUCAGAUCAUCACAUACCCUCUCCUUCUCUUCUAAAAAUGUCCUGCCAACCCAGGACCCUUCCCAGAAGCCAGCAGGCUGGGCAUUCCUACAGACCUAACACACAGCCUGUUUGCCAUGCGGAGCUUCCUCUCCCCAUCUGGAGAAGGUUUCUUUCUUCAUGUGACAAUGUUCCACCAGCAAGGUCCAGAAUAGAAACUAGGAGGCCUCCUAUCCUAGAAGGAAGCCUCUGGUGUUGAAGCUUUGGCAGCUGUGUUCCCUGCUGAGCUGCUCAGUGCAGAACCACAGUGUCUGCUGGACCUGCCUUCACCCAAAACACAAACUACUCCAAACCUGGAAAAGACUUCUGCUGUGGUUUCACUAAUGCAAAACUGUUUAAAGAAAGAAGUCUGCAGGUGGGUUGCCUGGUUGAAUCACAGAAUCAUUAAGUUUGGAAAAGACCACUAAGACCAUCUAGACAAACCAUCAGCUCAUCAUUGUCAUGGCAAUCUGUAAUGCAGCCAACAUGUAAGAAAAGAGCAAGAGAGCAAGAAGAUCAUCAGGAAGAUGUCUGGUAGCUCUAAGGAGAUGUGUUUAGAAAGAUCUCUGGAUGAAGAAACCUUUCAUAGCUGCACAGCACUGCUGCAGUUAUGACCCAUAGAAGGGGAAAAGACAAUCUAGGGUUCUUUCCUCCCAGCUGCCUGAUGAGCCUUGAUUCUAAACACUGGCACUGAAUGAUAAACUGUCAUAGGAACUGGAUAAGAUGAAGUACUUCUGGGUUGUCAUUCUUGGUAGAAUUUGGUCUGUGUAACAGACAAAAGCCUACUGCUGCUUUUAAAGGCCUAGAUAACCCUGCUGGCUCAGAGCACUGAUACUUGCUAUGGGCAGGGAAUGGCAGGGUGUCUGCUCCUGCUGGCACUGAUGGUUAUUACAGAAGCACACGAACAGCAGAGGCUGGAACUAGUGCAAAAUCUGGGACACCCUUCCCAAUUUCUCUAGCAUAUGGCAUGAUCAUACCACAUUUUCCAAAUAUUCAGCCAAUGACUGUUCAAAACCUUGUAUUUUCUGCAAAGGCCGUGGGGAAUACUCUCCUGUUCUGUCUACCAGGAGGGGAACUAUUUGUGAACAAAAUUAAUACCCACUGCAUGUCAGAUCCUUUCCUGUGGCCCUUCCAUUUCUCUGCAGCAAGAGAAGGGCACACAUACCCACUCCCUCUGCUCCCUCUGCAGGUUUUGCAGGCUAUUUGAUGACCAGGCAGUGGACCAGAGCACUUACAAGUGUUUGGGUCUGCUCUUGUGAACAAAGAGCAACAGAAGGAAGCAGAUCUUCCCAGUUCCAUGCCUUGCUCUGCCACAGGUUUUGCUGUGCCACCCCCAAGAGGCUGCCACCUCUUGGUGUCUGUAGAUGUACAGUGGGGCUAGCAGAAACCUAUCAGCCCACAGGUGGUGGGGAAAACCUUUUAGUCAAUGUUUGUACAGCACAGAAACCUUGCUGCUAUCUGUCACACAGAGACCAUAAUACUACCUGAGAACAAAUUAUAUUCAUGCAUAAUCAAAAUCACAUUCAGCUCAGCCCCGAUUCAAGAAUCCUUUUUGGCUGGUUGUGAUGUCCAGAGCAGAGAGAGCACAGCUUGAUUUCCAGAGCCCAGGCUGAGCUGGCAGAGCUGGCAGGUAGAAAUAUCUUGUUUUGACUGGUAAACUGAGCAAAUUUGACAUGGAAACCACUGAGGGAGAAUAAAUAUGGAACAACAAGAUGUAAUUUUUACAGAGGCUCUUUUCCAACCAUAACCGUACUCCGAGCCAUCCCAGACUUGAACUAAGAGGUCCUGAGGUCUGGGGAAGGAAAUUCAAGCCAUGGUAGGUUUGGCUGAGGCUCACCCCUGUCACAAGCGCAGACAUCUUUAAGUGCACAAUUACUUAACGGCACUAUUCCUUCAGGACUACAAAGAGCAGAAGAAAUAGAAAGGAACAGAAAAGGGGGGGAGGGAAGAUCAGAGAAGAAAAAGAGUUUUUAGCUCUGACACAGAACCAAGAAUAAAUGCCAGAAUCAGAAGAAUAGCCUAUAGGAAUUGUACGAUCAGUGUUCUCCAAAGCUGCCUGAAAUUCAUACCCAGCUCAAAGCAAAUAGCGGUGCUCCUACAGCCUGGGAAGAAGGGCUGACUGAGCCAAGCUCAGCUGCUUUCCAUUUAAUGGGAACAGGAUCUGUCACUGGAUCAACAGAACACCUGUUUAUUGGACAGAUCUGUUCAUGCUGUGGGGCUCCACCAUCCAGCAUUCCUCCCUUUCUCACAUACAUGAUGUGAAUUCCUUUAAUGGGUUUUAUGCCAUCAUUAAGCACAUCAUUUUCCCUGUCCAUGUUUCUAGCGAUGUUUUUAACAAGUGCAUGAUAUUUCACAGGAAAUAUCAAGAUAUAAAUAGACACUUAACAAACCCCACCAAGGGCUAUCUGCAAGAAUGGAUCUUAGUCUUCCACACCAAGUGCUGUCACUAUGGCUGAAGAACUGUUACAUCAGUUCAGCCUGACACUUCAGUAGCCUUCUGCUUAUUUAUUUUUGAAGCAGACAUAGGUGAGAAAACUGAUGUGCACACACAACCUGUGUUUUAUGUUUUGUGCUCUAUGGGUUAAGAACAUUCUUCUGCUUCAUUGGGAUGCUGGAAUUCUUAAGAAAUGAACAACACGUAUAUGUAAACUGCCCUGAUAAACAGCUCUAGGGCUGUGUAUUUUGAGUAAUCAAAAGGACUUGUACUAAUGAGUUUUGCACUCUUUUUGCAUUUUGCUUGUGGUGACACUCCCUAGAAGGCACGAACUGUCUCAGAAAUGGUUGGGUGUUACAUUGAUAUUAAUCAAGGUUGAAGAUGAGUCCAGGUCAGAUGGCAAACAUCCUCCAGACUUGCUACAAACAACAACCUGCUUUUGAUUAGUUAAUUAAUUAAGAACCAUUGAAAUUUUUAUGCCAAUCAGUAACUUGAAUACAUUGUAAUCUGUAAUAAAAGAGGGGAAAAAGAAGUGACUGAGAGAAGAGGCAGAAUUCCUGGAAUUAAUGUAAAAAGGAUGAUGACAUCUUUCUUUUAGAGACAGAGAGAUCUCAGAACCCUUCACCAGCUCUGGCGGCUGUGUCAGGGGUGGGAUGGAGUGGCACAGAAAGACUGCACCAGCCAAUGGGGACAAGGAAGGAGGAGGGCAACUGAACGCAAUAAUCCUACAUGGAAUUUGUCACAGACAGAAGAAUCAACGUCUGUUGCUUUGAAAGUAUAGUGGUUUCAUGGAUGACAGUAAGCCCUUAUGUCUUUCAGUGAAUACUGAAUCCAGCAAAUAACACUCGGUGAUACCGAGCACUUCUCUAGGGCAGUCAUUCAGAUUGCUCAGGCACCCAAAUCCAACAUUACUUUGCACUGAGAGUCAGGGGAACCCAUCUCCAUUGCUGUCUUUGUCACACCACCGAGAGCUUCCUAUCAGUGAAGGGUCUUCCAGGGCCACAGACGGAUGCACAGAUAUGUUCAACAUGCAAAAAGGAGUUUGCAAGAUACGCCACAUUGGAGGAUGGGACUAAAAAUUCUCAAAUAUUACUGCACCCCCCCCAAAAAAAUAUGGAUGAAAUAUGAGUGGAAUCAUGCCCACUGCUGAAUGGAAGUUAGACAGGCAGUUCUUAAUUAGAGAGUCCACAGGAUUCUUGUUCAUUCCUCUUCCUUGUUCGGUAGAGGAUGGAUUUGCUCUAAGGAUGACGCAGGAUUAUAUACAGGAGGACAGCGUUGUCAGUGGGGUCCCUGGCUGCUUUGCUGAAAAUCUGAUAGCCAUGCAGUGAGUGAGGGGGAGGGCUCCUGGAAAGGAAAGCUGUUUGCAUCGCUGUGUCCUGUUCUCCAGUGCUGGAUGUAUCACAGUCCUAUACCCAGAUCUUAAAGGUUUUCAUGAACCUUGCCUGUCUACUAUGGCAUGGGGCUGAAUACUUGCAGCCGUGGCUGAUACCAGUAGGCACCAUGCUUUGAACAUGUUACCUGCUCUAUGCAGCACUGCUAAGCAUUCCGUAAAAUCAGGUGGUUUGGCUGGGUACCCCACAGCAGAGGCUACUUUUGACUCCUCAGAGGGGAAGUGUGAGGAUAUUCACACUCUUCUUACAUUUUUGACAGCAAUUAGUUCUGUA